CGAUCGAGCGCGUUCGAGGCUGAAGGGAUUCUUGUCCUGAUCGCUUUGGAUAAAGUCCCCGGGU
rnacentral:RNase_MRP_RNA from 1 species